UUCUCAUGCUGAUGGAGUGAGUGACAGUGGGGUGCGAACUGUAGUUACUCGACUCAGCUCAGAAUGGCUGCGGGGAACGUAUUCAGACAUACCCAAGGAAGUCUGCCCAGGGUGAAACAAACACCGUUGAGGU
rfam:Equus caballus chromosome 28, whole genome shotgun sequence.